CCAAAUUUCCAAAUACUCGUUACUAAGAUUAUCCUAUGUACAAAUAUGUAAUCUACUAUAUAAUAUAAUAAGUUUUCUUCGAGUUACGGCUACUCAAGGAACUACAGACUCUCGUGACCUAUAAAAUACUAUCAACUAGAUUUCGAAGAAGCUAGCUAGAUGUCCGACUGGAAUCAGCUGAUCGGAACAAUGUUUACGUUCAGUGAUUUUCGAUUAAGGAAAACAAAUAAACAAAACCCUUAUGACUCUUAUUCUGCAACUACUGAAAUAAGCUCCAGUCAAACAACCAGAGGCGGAUUCGUUGGAAUGGGAUAUCCUUUCAUUUUAAAAUUGUAUGUACAAGUGUGCUGAAUAAAUGAGAUUGAUUUCA